AAUAUAGCUUAAUUGGUAAAGCAGCAUGCCUAGCAAGCAUGAAGUCCUAGAUUCAAUCCCCAAUAUU
rfam:Cricetulus griseus cell line CHO-K1, whole genome shotgun sequence.